rnacentral:rRNA from 1 species
CGGGUGAGUAACGCGUGGGUAACCUGCCUUAUACAGGGGGAUAACAGUCAGAAAUGGCUGCUAAUACCGCAUAAGCGCACAGAGCUGCAUGGCUCAGUGUGAAAAACUCCGGUGGUAUAAGAUGGACCCGCGUUGGAUUAGCUUGUUGGUGAGGUAACGGCCCACCAAGGCGACGAUCCAUAGCCGGCCUGAGAGGGUGACCGGCCACAUUGGGACUGAGACACGGCCCAA